rnacentral:rRNA from 1 species
CACUCCUGCGGGAGGCAGCAGUGGGGAAUUUUGGACAAUGGGCGAAAGCCUGAUCCAGCAAUGCCGCGUGAGUGAAGAAGGCCUUCGGGUUGUAAAGCUCUUUUGUCAGGGAAGAAACGGUGAAAGCUAAUAUCUUUUGCUAAUGACGGUACCUGAAGAAUAAGCACCGGCUAACUACGUGCCAGCAGCCGCGGUAAUACGUAGGGUGCAAGCGUUAAUCGGAAUUACUGGGCGUAAAGCGUGCGCAGGCGGUUUUGUAAGUCUGAUGUGAAAUCCCCGGGCUCAACCUGGGAAUUGCAUUGGAGACUGCAAGGCUAGAAUCUGGCAGAGGGGGGUAGAAUUCCACGUGUAGCAGUGAAAUGCGUAGAUAUGUGGAGGAACACCGAUGGCGAAGGCAGCCCCCUGGGUCAAGAUUGACGCUCAUGCACGAAAGCGUGGGGAGCAAACAGGAUUAGAAACCCUUGUAGUCCCAU